rnacentral:lncRNA from 1 species
UAAAAUAGAAAAAUACCAAUACCCUAUCUAUCCUUGUUACUUUGUUAGUAUUUUCUUCUUGGCCGCCACCAUGAACAAACCAGUGAACCACCAUUAACGUCUGUUCUUGCUGCUUCUUCUUCUUGAUAAGGUAUGAUAGAUAAUCAAUUAAUCAUUCUUCUUCUUUUUCUUGAACUUCAUCAAUCUAUUGAUUUUUCUUCUCACUACUUUCCUUCCUUCUUUGCAGCUUGCUUCUUAGCUACCUUUCUUUCCACUUGACUUCAUUAAUAUCACUUCUUCUAAGGUUUUUUCUCUCAAUUGUCUUUUUCUUCUAUUUAUCAAUCGAUCAACACACGGAACUACCAACUACUGGGAAUUUUUUGGGUUUGAUCUCAAUUUUCUGGGAAAUUUGUUUCAUUUCAGGUUGGAUUCAGCUCCCCUUUUAUCUUAUUCAGUCAAACUUGUUUUGAGUUUUCGCAAUUGCACUGCUUUAAUAUGUUUGUUUUCUUAAAUUAAUGCUAAAGCUUUGAUUUUUAUUCAAAUUGAGAUGAAUGGGAUGAUUUGUUGCUCAUAUAUUAGUUAUAAAUUUAGAAUUUCUUCAUUUAAAUAUCGUUUUUUUUUUGUUGGUUUUAUGGAAUUGAGCUUGAAUGAAGCUGAAUUGGUAGUUAUAGUUGGGAAUUAGGUUAGAAAGGUUUGUUCUUGGUGUGGAUAUUUACGGUAUGUUAAUUGAAAAA